rnacentral:rRNA from 1 species
CCAUCUGGAAGAAGUCUGGAGACAGGUGCUGCAUGGCUGUCGUCAGCUCGUGUCGUGAGAUGUUGGGUUAAGUCCCGCAACGAGCGCAACCCUUGCCUUUAGUUGCCAGCAGUUCGGCUGGGCACGUCUAAAGGGACUGCCGGUGUUAAACCGGAGGAAGUGGGAUGACGUCAAGUCCUCAUGGCCUUUAUGACCAGGGCUACACACGUACUACAAUGGCCGAUACAAAGGGCAGCGACACUGCGAGGUGAAGCCAAUCCCGUGAAAAUCGGUCUCAGUCCGGAUUGGAGUCUGCAACUCGACUCCAUGAAGUUGGAAUCGCUAGUAAUCGUGGAUCAGCAUGCCCACGGUCGAAUACGUUCCCGGGCCUU